rnacentral:misc_RNA from 1 species
GUGAAUCAUCGAAUCUUUGAACGCAUAUUGCACUCUCUGGUAUUCCGGAGAGUAUGCCUGUUUGAGGGUAAUUAAAAAGCUUCAUCUACCAAUUUUUUUUGGUCACAGGUCAUGAGCUCUCCGCGUUUAUCGCGGUAGCUUGAAAUAAAUGGUCAAGUCUCAUUUUAGUCGAGACGCGUAAUAAUAUUAUUUCUCGAAAUCUUCAUUGUGUGACUAUCAAGUUUUUAUGCAUACACAUUUGCUUUGUAUGCGAUCAUUCCC